rfam:Facklamia hominis CCTG 36813 genomic scaffold supercont1.1, whole genome shotgun sequence.
AUUACAAGCUAUCGAGAGAAUGAAAAAUGGCUAUUGGUACUGGAAGCUAAAAAGAAUAAAUUGAAUAAUAGUUCCAGGUGGUUUGCAUUUGGGCAAAAAAUAAGACCGUAGUUUUAGGCUGC